rnacentral:lncRNA from 1 species
UAUUUUUAAUCCAAAAGUAUAUUGCUUCAUAAUGGUAUUCAGUGCACAGCAGAGUAAAAGAAGUUAAUUCAUGAUGUACUGGUUAAUUUUGCAUGGCUUCUUAAGGCCAGCAAAAUGCUGGCAGUUUUCUUUAUCUUUGUGAAGAACAGGCCCUUCCUGUUUGGGGAAGUUGGCUUUUAUGUCAGCUCUUGGCCAGUGGUCACUUCCAAGCCUGGUGUCUCCGGCCCUGUAGUCUGUAGUGCCAGACUGUGCUGGCCUGGAGAGUGCUGGGGCAGGUGGAGGCCAGGGAAUGGUCCCAUACAGUUAUCUCCCCUGCCCUGGUUACAGACAGCUUCGAGAACCAGAGGAGAAGAGCAUAGGGUCAUGGAGCAGGUGGGCUGAAGCCAGGGCCACAGGGAGCAAUCCGUGACCCCCCAAGGUGGGUGUGGGGGGGGGGGGGGGCGUGUCACCUUAGGGAACUCAAUGAGUCCGAAGAACAAUUUGAAAUGUUGGGAAAAGAGAAGAGGAAUUUGAUGUCAGCCGGGGUGAUCCCUGAGAUAGAGGCCUGUCUCUGAUGGCAUGAGCUCUAAGAGGGUCCUGGAGGAUUGGUACAUCCUAGAACAUUCCAGUUAGCCCUCUUUUAGGGGAAACUGGCAUAGGAUUGAUGCAGAAGGCAUUUUUGAUGAUGGGACCAAAAUUCAAGUCUCCUUGGUAGCAUUCUAGGAUCAACUAGAUCCUAGGAUCUGGUAGAUUGUAGGAUUCUAGUGGGUAGAGGCCAGGGGUGCUGUGAAACAUCCUGCAGUGCACAGGAUGGUCCCACAAGAGAGGAUGAUCCGGCCCAGAAUGUCAGUGCUGAGCCUGAGAAACUCAUCUAAGGCCUGGUCCACAACAGUAAUGUGACUGUUCACUCGUGACAACUUCAGAUGGUAAAUGGACUUAGGAUCGUAUUAUUUUAUUUAAAAGAAAAAUAAGGAGCUGGUUUUUCAGCCGGGUUCCUUUCCCCUAUGCACUGGAAUACCCCUGGUAGGUGUGAGCUGCAUGCAAUUGUGGGGAUUCAGCACUGAAAUCUAGGUGCUUUUGUUUUCUCCAGCAGCCUCGUCUUACAGCGUGACUGCAAAGAAAAAGACUUUUGUUUUGCAAAAGAAAAGCAGCUCGGUGACUCCGUCCACAUCGCCACAGUUGAGUCAGAUGGCAGUGGCAGUCCUUUGCCAGUGGAAGGAGUUCCUGCUAAGGGGAGGUGCAGGAGGACUAAUUUAUUAUUGUGCAACUGCCAGUCCUGCGCAUUCCAGCUACGCUAAGCGCCCUGCCCAGGCACGUAACAAAACAUAGACCUGUUUUGAAGUGGCUUGUUACCCAAGGGUGCCUCACUCAUCUGCGCCACCAGGAAGAUGAACUGUGAGGGCUCCUAUAAGGGGCAGGAAGAGCAAAGCUGUCCUAGGCCAACCAGAGAUUCAUCUUUCAUGCAGUGACAUGUUGAUAAAAAAUGAUGGAAGUACCACCAAGAACAGGGAAGGACAAGCCAGAGGCUGGAGGAAGAUACCUGCAGAACACAGACCUGACAAAGGAUCAGUGCCCAGGAGAUGCAAACCCAGAUCCCAGGGGUGUGCAUCCCACCCGUUCUGCCUGUAGGAUCUGCAAACCCGGCAAAACCUAGUUCUAGAGAGACUGGAUUCACUGCAUGUCUUCAUCACUGCUGGAGGGAGCGCAGACUGCUAUCGCCUCUUAGAAAAUGACUUAGUUCUCAUGUAAUUUGGGCAUUCACACAUCCUCAUCCUAGAUCCAGCUUUUCCACUCCCGCACACGUACUGGAAAACCUGUACAGGAACAUCCACUGCAGCACUGCUCAUACCAAACACAACCUACAUGUUCUCUGCACAGAGAGGGGAGAAGAGCCGGUCAGUUCACUCAGUGGACUCUGUGCUCAAUAGUAGGUGUGAAUAAGCCGCAGCCGCCCAGACCGCAUGGGCCAACCUCAGUCCGAGAAUGCGGAGUGAAAACACAGGUCUAACGAUCACACAUGGCAAGAUAAUUAUCUUGCAAAGAAAACUCACUUAUUGUUCUGCCAUACAUAUAUGUACCAUAGAAUCACUCCCCGCACCUUCCACUCUGAAAAAACAAAGGAAUUCUAGGCACAAAGUUCAGGAUCAUGGUUAACUGAGGGGAGAGAACAGGGAGUAUGAUGGCAAGAUAGAAGGUAUCGUUCACAUCCAAGUUUAUAGGUUGGGUUCUUGAUUUAGUCAUUAUUCAAAGGCUAAUAACUAAAUAAAAGGUAGCUAGCGUGAGAGUGCAACAUGAACCAAAGAUCAUGACUGGCUUUGCGCAUCGAGGGGCCAUUAAAGAGUCUACUUUUC